rnacentral:rRNA from 1 species
AAAAAGCUCGUAGUUGGAUUUUGGUUAAGAGGGCGCGGUCGGCCGUUUGGUCUGUACUGCGUUGUCUUGACUUCCUGAUGAGGACAUGCUCUUGGUUAACGCUGAGACAUGGAGUCAUCGUGGUUACUUUGAAAAAAUUAGAGUGUUCAAAGCGGGCUUACGCUUGAAUAUAUUAGCAUGGAAUAACACUAUAGGACUCCUGUCCUAUCUCGUUGGUCUCGGGAUGGGAGUAAUGAUUAAGAGGAACAGUUGGGGGCAUUCGUAUUUCAUUGUCAGAGGUGAAAUUCUUGGAUUUAUGAAAGACGAACUUCUGCGAAAGCAUUUGCCAAGGAUGUUUUCAUUAAUCAAGAACGAAAGUUGGGGGCUCGAAGAUGAUUAAAUACCAUCCUA